GGAUACCUUACAGUCACCCAUGAGUGGACUAAUGAGGUAAAACAAUCGAAGAUAAAUUCAGUUAUCAGCUCUUUUGUAGAAUAAAGAUCAAUAAACAUUCUUAAUGUGUACAUCUCUUUGUACCACGCUCGAAAAUUUCAGUUAAUCAUAUAUAUGGUUUGUGUAAUCACAUUUUUUCACUGCGUGAUCACUGUUUAAAAUGUGCGUGACCACUAUUUUUACACUUAGUUAAUCAAAUAAAUUCUGAAAAAUUAGUGGUCACGCGAUUAAAAAAAUGUGGUCACUUGUUUAACUGAAAUUUUUCAGAGUGGUACUUGGUAAAACUUGUCUAGGCUGAAAAUGUGAAUAAGUUGUUGGAGUAAGGAGGUGACCGCCAUCAAGGAAUCGCAUAAUCCUUGACAAUUUUAUUUGAUAAAUUGGAGGAAUGAGUCUUUGCAUGAACUGUAUAAAUUAUGAAGAUAAGGUGAGGCAAUCAUGAAGAUAUAUUAUGAAGAAUGCACAUUAUGAUGUUCAAAACCUCUUUUAUAUGUGUGAAUUCUAUCCUCAUUAUAUGACACGGGCAUUUGAAGGGCACGGUCUAAUGAUUGUCUUAAUUAUAUGACAGGAACAAACCAUUGGUUUGGUAGUGGCAGAUGAUAGACAAUUCUUGGAGACUAUUCGGCAUUGGAAUUUUUAUCUGCAGAGGCUGAUGCAAGAAUUCCUAAAUGAUGGUUACCAUAAGUUGAAAGCUUGUUAUGUUUUUUGCUUAUGUUGUUGACAUAAGGAAAGAAAAUCUUUCCUCUUGCAUUGUUUUCAACAUACAACAAAGUAAUGGUCUUCUUGGACUUGCUAUCGAGUUUAAAACCUUUUCGAUGGUUGUUCACUGACAGAGUCAGAUCGCAACUUCUCAUUACGACUAAGGAAGCCUCAUCCUUACUCAUAUCUCUCUUGCCAAGGAAGGACCCUCUGCCAAUUUCUAACUCACCGUAACAUUUUCGAACAACACCCAUUUCUAGCUUCUACGUCUAAUGAUCCCUUAACCGAUCGAUGAGUAGUUUGCUCUUCCUAUAUUGUGCAGAUUUCAGUUAUAUGGCUAUAGCUGAAUUCAUUGCCUUUCUAAAUGAAUCUAUAGACUUCUCACAUGAAUAGAACCCUGAGUUACUUAUCUGGCUGAAUUUUGGUAACUUUGUGUUGCUUGUUACUGCUGGAUCUAGCACCAAUCUUGACAAGAUAAUCAUGGCACGUGUUCCCUUCAUGCAACAUUUGAUGCAAUUGAAGACUCCAAUAUUUGAUCAUUUAUUGACGAAUAACGACUAUCUCACGGCCUAAAUGUUGUGUAGUAACACCAACACUUUGAAACAUUUAGAGUGUGUUUUGAGUCGAUGUAACAUGAUUUUACGUGAACCUUCUUUCCAACACAUGUGAACGCCAUGUAUCAAGACUACAAUCUCAACAUGCAGAUGAUUGAGACACACCAAUAUUUUUGUAGUAUCCUCAAUAAAGUCUCUCAUAGUAUCUCGAAUUAGACCACCAAAUCCGAACACCCUAGGGUUUGUUAGAGAGCUCCCAUCAACAUUAAUGACAUAUGUGCC
rnacentral:lncRNA from 1 species